UGAGGAAUCUGACUGAAACGAUGUAACAGAUCAGAUUAAGACUUUGACUGUAGCUUUAGCUGCUGGUUAGAACUCAGUCCAUUUUGGUCUGUGAGGCUGAGAGCAACACAAAAAUACACAAACACACUGCUUCAGUUUUAAUACACAAGUCUGUUUCAGAUGAU